AUUGAACGCUGGCGGCAGGCCUAACACAUGCAAGUCGAGCGAGUGGCGGACGGGUGAGUAAUGUCUGGGAAACUGCCCGAUGGAGGGGGAUAACUACUGGAAACGGUAGCUAAUACCGCAUACCAUCGGAUGUGCCCAGAUGGGAUUAGCUUGUAGGUGAGGUAAAGGCUCACCUAGGCGACGAUCCCUCGCUGGGAGGAGAGGAUGAGCAGCCACACUGGAACGGUGCCACGGUCCAGAUUCCUACGGGAGGCAGAAGGGGGGAAUAUUGCACAAUGGGCGCAAGCCUGAUGCAGCCAGGCCGCGGGGAUGAAGAAGGCCUUCGGGUUGUAAAGUACUUUCAGCGGGGAGGCGUUACCCGCAGAAGAAGCACCGGCUAACUCCGUGCCAGCAGCCGCGGUAAUUC
rnacentral:rRNA from 1 species